AUUGAACGCUGGCGGCAGGCCUAGCACAUGCAAGUCGAGCGGAUGAAGGGAGCUUGCUCCUGGAUUCAGCGGCGGACGGGUGAGUAAUGCCUAGGAAUCUGCCUGGUAGUGGGGGAUAACGUCCGGAAACGGGCGCUAAUACCGCAUACGUCCUGAGGGAGAAAGUGGGGGAUCUUCGGACCUCACGCUAUCAGAUGAGCCUAGGUCGGAUUAGCUAGUUGGUGGGGUAAAGGCCUACCAAGGCGACGAUCCGUAACUGGUCUGAGAGGAUGAUCAGUCACACGGGAACUGAGACACGGUCCAGACUCCUACGGGAGGCAGCAGUGGGGAAUAUUGGACAAUGGGCGAAAGCCUGAUCCAGCCAUGCCGCGUGUGUGAAGAAGGUCUUCGGAUUGUAAAGCACUUUAAGUUGGGAGGAAGGGCAGUAAGUUAAUACCUGGCUGUUUUGACGUUACCAACAGAAUAAGCACCGGCUAACUUCGUG
rnacentral:rRNA from 1 species